GGCCUCGGGGCUUUCCGAGCCGCCGCCCUCCUAGCGGCAGGAAGGCUGCAGCAGCUCCGCGAUGCUGAUGCUCGGGCUGGAGAACGCCGCGCCCACGCCUCCCGUCCCUUCAAGCCCACCACUCCGUCCUGGGGCCCAGCCCUCCGCAGCCCCGCUGCACCGCCCGCCCCGCCCAGCCCAGCCCAGCUGCUGCACCGCCCUGCAGCCUGCACACAAGCCCCGGCCCAGGGCAACACCUACCCGGAGAUCCCGGGGCCGCCUCUCUGGGACUACAACUCCCAGAAAUCCGCUCCCCAGCCGGCUCGCCGGCGCCGAUUGGCUCGCUGCGCCAUCCAUCAACCACCAACCACCGGAAGACGGCUGCGGACGGCGCGCCACGGCCAAUCACGAGAGCGAGGGGGCGGGAGCUCCCCCAGCCGGUCCGACGCUCGGAGUGCAGGCGUGGCGGGACGCCGAAGGAGUCGGUUCUUCGGAGAGCCACGGCGAGUCAGUGGUCGGAGAGUUGACAGGCCGGCCCUGCGCGGAGUGAUGGCCUGGGGCAGAAGCCCCGUUUUGCCCAGAAGACUCCGGAGUCCGCUCCGCCGGCUGCUGCCCUCGGCGCCAGGCCCAGCGGCCUUCGCCCCGCCCCCCGUCUCUCAUUGGCUCCCCCGGGACACGUGGGGGGAAGGAGGCGUGGCCACCGCGGCUGGGGCUGGCGGCCUGCGGCCGGCGGGGAUGAGAGGCCCGCGGACUCGGGCCUGGGGCCGCAUGGCAACCGUGGUGCCGGGCUGCUGGCGACGGCGGAGGGCGGAGGAGCUUCAGGUUCCGGGGGACGCGAAACGGGCAUGCAGGAGAGGAGAAGCAGCCGGGCCAGAGUGGGGCCGAGCCCCUGUGAAGCUCAGUGCCCCAGUGUCCUGCAGCGGCGAGGGGCUGCCACGUGUGGGGAUUCCUCAGAACGGCGGAAGGAGCUGGGCCCAGCCUUGCCCGAGAUGUAUGGCGGGGGAGUCUACUCUGAAGGAUCCCAGAGCUUUUAGAUGACCAGAGAAACAAAACGAACACUUCUUUCUCUAUAAAUAAAGGACAUCUUAACCACACCGAGAACCAUUAAGGAGCAAGCUGGAAGGUUCCAGUUUGGGUCUCAAGACGUCCAUGUGCCAACAAGUGUCAAUCUCACAGAUGGACCUGGGCACCCACCUGUUGGAAUCACCGGUUCAGGAGAUCCCAUCGCCUACCGCGCUAGAGCCAGGAGGACCCCCAUCACCUCAUAGGAGCCUUCGGACUGUUGGCACCUGCUGCACCCUUCAGAUGUAUCUUCUUGACAAGGAAAUCAUUUGCAUCAUGUAAAAGUUAAAGAACAUUUCAGUGUCAAAUUUCCUAUGAAGUUAGAGAACCCUGUGGCUCAUGGAACCAUAUCCAGAUGUAGCUCUGCUUUCAGACUCUCCAGUAGUUUUGUGGUUGUACCCAGGGCUCCUUAUAUGCUCAUUUUUAAUUAAAAGAUUUAUUUUUAUAUUUAAAAUACUCUAUAAUCUUAAACUGAAUUUUACUAAAUGUUGGUGUCCAUUCCGUUCUGUGUAAUUCCCCAAAUGAAGUUAUCGGGCACAGGGCCUCUUUUAUAUUAAAAUUGAAAUUUCUCACUUUUCUUGGGUUUUCAAUGCAUCAUCUGACUGUGGAGACGGGUGUCACUUUCCCUGGAUCUGAAGGCUUCCUGAGAUGUCCUAGUACUUACCAGACACGGUCCUCACAAAAUCACUGGGUUCCAGCUCCACUCUCAGGCUCUUUACCCUUCCAAGGCCAGGGUGGUGGGCAGAGGCCCUGCACUCCCUGCCUGGUCAUCUCAUGCCCAUGGCCUGUUCCCUGCCAGCGGCUGUCCCUCAGCACCGACAUCCGCAGGGCCAGCCCGCCAGCGGUCACGGCAUGUGGUCAUGGAGGGACUUCACGUGGCGCAGAAGGGCAGACCGGGUGUUGGGAGGAAACCCGUACGACACCAGCUGUGCUGUGGAUUAUCCGGGAUCACAGGGCACUGCUGUGUCGCAGGAAAGAGGAGACUGCCUCCGGCAUCCGGGGAGGUCACAAGUCCUGUGGCCCAGAGUCAGGUCACCAACUGCCGGGGAUGAGCCAGCCGUCCUCACCAGGAUGACCAGGCCUGGAGCGGCGAGCCUGAGGUCUGUGGCCGUGAAACAGGUGCCAUCAGGGAGCUUUCUUGUGCUCCUCUCUGCUAAAGGAGACGCGUCGUAAUUCUUAGAGAAACCGUGGGGGCGCAGAGCUUCUUAGAUUCACAGCAUUCCUUUUUGUGCGUCAGCCCGUCCGUUUCGCCCAGAUUCACGGGGAGAGGAGGAGGCCGCACGUUUACUUAGUUGUGCUGGGGAACGAGCGCACACAUCGCCGCGGCUACUUGGUGAAGAAAGCUUGUUCCGUGGAGAGUAAGCCCCCUGCCCCUUCCUGCCUGGUGGGAGGCACCCCGUGCAGAGCCAGCCAGAUGGGGUGCAAGGCUCACGUCCCCCAGGGUGUCUGUGGGAGGGGGUGAUGGCCCACAGGGUUUGCUGGGAGCAGAGAGAGGCAUGCACGCAUGGCCUGGGUGACCCUCGGUGGUCGCCCCUGUGCCCCAGUGCGCGACCCCUCAAACCCCAAAGCGGACACCCCUCUGGGAAGCCAGAGGACAGGAAAGCUUAGAGCAGCAGGGACAAU
rnacentral:lncRNA from 1 species